CCGAAUUUUCCUAAAUCAGUUUUUACUUCAAUUUUUGGUAUUUAUUCUCCGUUCAGUGGUAGUCAGAGCUCUAAUUCCAGUGUAAAUAGUCAAGCCUGAGAGUUUCUGUGCAGAAGUCGUUAGAUGCCUCUUCAACAAGCAUUUGUUAAAGUGAUCCUAUGUGCAUGGUCUGAUGCUGGGAAUUCUGCCGAUUUGAUUAAACAAAAUCCUUUCUCUAGGGAAAGAACUAAUUCAAAACUGAAACCUGAGAACAUACCCAAGAACGUAAUCAACCACAUAGGCUCAUUAAUGAACUGUUUUUAAUAUAAAGCUUCAGUAGCCCUUUCUCUGAAGCAGUCUAUUUUUUCAGGAAAUUCAUCUCCAUCAGGAAAGUUGGAAAGAUGGAGGAGAAAUAGUAGGCAGGAACAAUUUUUUAGUGCCACUGCUACUUUUGAUCAUCUGUGUAUCCAAAAAUGUGAGAUGUGUGGCUGUAAUGAUGAUAUUGAUUUUCCUUUAAGAUGAAGACAUCAGGAAGUAUAUAGUGAAGUCACUCAGUCGUGUCCAACUCUUUGCGACCCCAUGGACUGUAGCCUACCAGGCUCCUCUGUCCAUGGGAUUUUCCAGGGAAUAGUCCUGGAGUUGAUUGCCAUUUCCUUCUCCAGGGGAUCUUCCCAACCCAGGGAUCAAGCCUGGGUCUCCCGCAUUGCAGGCAGACACUUUAUUGUCUGAGCCAUCAGGAAGUAUACACCUAAGGGAAUAUUGUCUUUCGAGGUAGACACUUUGGGAGAUUAUCCCUUUAUUUUAGCGAUGUGUCAUUGUUAGAAAUAUCUGUUAGGAAAAUCAGUGUCAUUGUUUCAAGUCACAUCUUGUGUUUUAACUACCACUUUAUCAAACAGGGUUAAACCUGUUUGAUAACAGGGAUAAACCUGUUUGGCUGUUGAGCUAACAGUGUAUAUAAAACAAGCCUGCCUUUAUAAAACACCAAUUUUUAAGAGGAAUAAUUAAGCAAUUUUUAAAAAUUAUUCCUAUAAACGUGUAUUAUCAGUUGGCAGCGCCAAAGUUUUGGGCGUACAAGGAAUGAAGCAUCCAGAAUGUCCUCACAUGGAAACAGGAAAAGUCAUGCUCCUCUUAUAAGGAGCAGUCUGAGUGUUUUGUGAGGCAUUAAGACAAAGUUCUACUACAGUUCUUAUAUUAAAAUUGAAUUUAUGAAUCCAAAUCAAAUUUUAACAGGUUGGAAUCAGAUUAAUUUGGUGUGAGACCACAGAUAAGACCAUGUAGGAUGUAUGCUUUAUUUCUUGUUGGCCAACAACUUCUUUCUAAUGUUUUGUGAAGCAUUAUUUUAAGUGUUCUAUAUAAUGGUGCUUUUAUGGUUAUUAAAAAUUAUAUAUGGUAUUGCUUUAUAUGGACUUGUCACUGAAUCUAAUUUUGGGGGGUUUAAGAAAAUAAAAAACUUAUUUACCAUAAAUUCCA
rnacentral:tRNA from 1 species